GCCGCAUCUUUGUUGCCCGAUAUAUUGUAUUUGAUGAACUUGUCUUUCCUUUUGCUGUAUAGAACCAGAGAAGACCUACAUAGCAUCCAUUGCCUGCACUUUUUGAUUUUUUUCCAUCGAAUAGCUCAGAGCCACCUGGUCCGUUCAGCUUUGGGCCUGAUCUGCAUGAGGUGGCGACCCCUACUGUAGAAGCUACUGUGUAGGCACUUGCUGCACCGACUGAUCCCUCUGAGC
rnacentral:lncRNA from 1 species